GAGCAAGAAUAAGAAGGCCAUUUUCGGCCAAGCUCUAGACCAAAAAAAAAAAAAAAAUUUUUUUUUUUUUUCAAAAAUCAUUUUGUACCAAUUAAAGGGUCCUUUACAACUUGGUGUAAUUAUUUUGGAAGAAAGAACACUUGUUUCUUCAAGUUGACAACUUGGUCAAGUGAAGAAGAUUGUAGAAAAAGAUUUUGGCGAACUUGAAACUUGAUUUUGGAGACGUGUAUGAAUCGGAAAAGGUCAACAGGUAGACAGAUUUGACUCUUAGAAGCUCCAUCAGCAGUACUGUGGCAGCGCUCCAGUUGUUCCGGAGCCUCAGUUUCUUGGUACUACUUUUGUGUACAUAUUCGGGCACGGUAGAACCGGUCCUUCUUGUAUAUGUAGAUGUACUUUGUUUAGAGGCUCGUAGACAGAUAUGUACAGUCAGAUGUUUUGUACUUUUGUGGUCCUUGUCGUUGUAUAAUGUGCUAGCAAAGUUUAUAAGUCCAUGUCUACAAUUAUGCCAUUAAUGUUAGCGUUAAGCAACAGAAAAAAAAAAGAUACGGUAUAGUCUAUACGGCCCACCUAGUAGUAAAAGUACGAUACGAGAUAAGGGGUGCUCGGUACAAGUAUCGGG